GGGGAAUAUUGCGCAAUGGGGGAAACCCUGACGCAGCAACGCCGCGUGAAGGAAAAAGGCCUUCGGGUUGUAAACUUCUUUGAUCGGGGACGAAAAUGACGGUACCCGAGGAACAAGCCACGGCUAACUACGUGCCAGCAGCCGCGGUAAUACGUAGGUGGCAAGCGUUGUCCGGAAUUACUGGGCGUAAAGGGCGUGUAGGCGGGAUGGCAAGUCAGAUGUGAAAGCCCGGGGCUUAACUCCGGAACUGCAUCUGAAACUGCUGUUCUUGAGUGCUGGAGAGGAAAGUGGAAUUCCCAGUGUAGCGGUGAAAUGCGUAGAGAUUGGGAGGAACACCAGUGGCGAAGGCGGCUUUCUGGACAGUAACUGACGCUGAGGCGCGAAAGCGUGGGGAGCAAAC
rnacentral:rRNA from 1 species